GUGCCCUGAGAAAAGAAAAAUUUAAAAGACAUAAGAUGACAGUAAAUAUACACAAUCUGACUCUGAAUACUGGGAUGAUGAGUUUUGUACCUUGGCGUUGAGCAGCAGAAACAGAGGGUGAUCUGGUGUGGCCUGAGCUCUCCACUGCAGAACAUCCGGCAUAUACAGGAACUACGAGACGAGAGACGACACAUUCACACAACACUACACUUCCAGAUCAAGCAGUGUCAUAAAGAAGUGCACCUUCACUUUACUGAAUGUGCACUUGUAGUGUACUUCAAAUAUUAGAGGUACAUUCUACUUGCAGAUAUUAUAAUAUUAAUGAAAUAAAAUAAAAUAUCAAUUUCAACUAUAAUACAUUUAAAUACAAGUAACAUGCAGUUAAGUGUCUGAAAAUAUUACUUUCAGUUCACAUUUAAGUAUAUUCUCUUAAAAUAUAAUAUUUCCAUAAUAAUUUCUCUUUUUAAAAAAUAUGCUAAAUGUACUUCUUUUUCUCCAGUGACCAGUGAAAAUGGGGUUGAUCUUUACCUGCUCAUUGUCUUCCAGCUGUGAAACAUCUCUCCCACAGGCCUGUGCAAUCCUCUUUCCUGCCACUAGGUUUCCAACUAUCAUGGAAGCAGGACCCACCUCUGAAACAAAAGAGUCAACAGGUUUGGGCAGGUUGGUGACACAGGUAUGAGGGCACAUGAGGACGUUGCAGGGGUGCAGGGCUCCCUCCAUGAAGCGCUGUUUGGUCUCUGAGAUGUGGAUGCCGCCCAGAGGAGCUUUGGGGAGUGUGUUAGCUGGCACCAGAGCCAGACAGUACACUCCCACCUGAUGGAUGCUGUCGAUAGCCUAAGAGUGAGACAGAAAGUGCUUAAGAAAAUAUGCAUCACACGGCUCAUCCACUGGAAGCUGUCCUCCUCUGAGCCGUCUGGUCUCUGUUCUGCCACCACAACUAUGCGUUCAUCACGCAGCACUGAUACAGAGAAAACCGCAAUCCUGCAAGAGAACAGCGAUGCACUCUUCAGUCUGAGCACAGAAGCACACUCAUCUCAAGUCAAGAGUAAAUGCCCUGUUGAAUUACCUUCCU